rnacentral:rRNA from 1 species
CCUACGGGAGGCAGCAGUGAGGAAUAUUGGUCAAUGGGCGCUAGCCUGAACCAGCCAAGUAGCGUGAAGGAUGACUGCCCUAUGGGUUGUAAACUUCUUUUAUAUGGGAAUAAAGUGCAGUAUGUAUACUGCUUUGCAUGUACCUUAUGAAUAAGGAUCGGCUAACUCCGUGCCAGCAGCCGCGGUAAUACGGAGGAUCCGGGCGUUAUCCGGAUUUAUUGGGUUUAAAGGGAGCGUAGUCAGGUUGUUAAGUCAGUUGUGAAAGUUUGCGGCUCAACCGUAAAAUUGCAGUUGAUACUGGCAGCCUUGAGUACAGUAGAGGUAGGCGGAAUUCGUGGUGUAGCGGUGAAAUGCUUAGAUAUCACGAAGAACUCCGAUUGCGAAGGCAGCCUGCUGGACUGUAACUGACGCUGAUGCUCGAAAGUGUGGGUAUCAAACAGGAUUAGAUACCCGGGUAGUC